rnacentral:rRNA from 1 species
GCGGCGGAUGGGUGAGUAACACGUGGGUAACCGGCCCAUGGACAGGGAUAACUCCGGGAAACCUGGGCUAAUACCCGACAACAUUUUGAACCGCAGGGUUCUAAAUUGAAAGGCGGCUCCGGCGGUCCCUUAUGGAUGGACCCACUUCGCAUUAGCUUGUUGGUGAGGUGACGGCUUACCUAGGUAACGAUUCUUAACGAACCUGCACGGUGGAUCGGCCACACGGGCCCUACUCACCCGCCAAGAACCCUUCGGGAGGAAUCAAUAGGGAAUCUUCCCCAGUGGACGACA